rnacentral:rRNA from 1 species
UACGGGGGGAGCAAGCGUUGUUCGGAUUUACUGGGCGUACAGGGCGCGUAGGCGGUCAGCACAAGUCAGUUGUGAAAUCUCCGGGCUUAACUCGGAAAGGUCAACUGAUACUGUGCGACUAGAGUGCAGAAGGGGCAACUGGAAUUCUCGGUGUAGCGGUGAAAUGCGUAGAUAUCGAGAGGAACACCUGCGGCGAAGGCGGGUUGCUGGGCUGACACUGACGCUGAUGCGCGAAAGCCAGGGGAGCGAACGGG